GAUGAACGCUGGCGGCGUGCCUAAUACAUGCAAGUCGAGCGAACAGACGAGGAGCUUGCUCCUCUGACGUUAGCGGCGGACGGGUGAGUAACACGUGGAUAACCUACCUAUAAGACUGGGAUAACUUCGAGAAACCGGAGCUAAUACCGGAUAAUAUAUUGAACCGCAUGGUUCAAUAGUGAAAGACGGUUUUGCUGUCACUUAUAGAUGGAUCCGCGCCGCAUUAGCUAGUUGGUAAGGUAACGGCUUACCAAGGCAACGAUGCGUAGCCGACCUGAGAGGGUGAUCGGCCACACCGGAACUGAGACACGGUCCAGACUCCUACGGGAGGCAGCAGUAGGGAAUCUUCCGCAAUGGGCGAAAGCCUGACGGAGCAACGCCGCGUGAGUGAUGAAGGUCUUCGGAUCGUAAAACUCUGUUAUUAGGGAAGAACAAAUGUGUAAGUAACUAUGCACGUCUUGACGGUACCUAAUCAGAAAGCCACGGCUAACUACGUG
rnacentral:rRNA from 1 species